ACCUGGUUGCUCUCAGCCUUCACGGCUUCCUCCGGCUCUUUGACUCCGAGCUGGAUAUUUCUAUCACAAUUCAGACGACUCUCUGGUGCAGUCUAAUACAUCUCAAUUAGGGUCCUACGCGUGUCACUCUCCCAAAUACCCGAGCAUCUUCCCAUGGCGAGUUACGUGAGGUGAGGAGCACCUAUUACAGCUCUUCCUCUGUUUCUCUCCAGCGCUGAUAUUGCAGGGGUUUGCAUCCUUCUGGUUUUGUGUGCAAAGCUUAAAAUCUCUCCAGACCGAUUACCAGAAAACACAAAGCAUCCACAACUCCACCACAGUUUCACAGGAGCCUCAGGUGGAACUUCUGGAAAACUGCAGCCACAGGGAACCGCAGCCAGCAAACCCUGUGCAAACCCACCACACGGACCCACUCCUUCUCCUGGACUGGAGCCUGUGCAAACAGCAGGGAAAUUGUAUUCUCCGUGAGAUGUCGUUUGAGCUUUCCUUCCAGCAGAUCCUGCUUCUUUCUCACAUCAGCUCCUCUACUGAAUCUAGGACGCGGGAGAUGCUCAGUCCUGCCUUCUGGGCUCCCGUCCAUCAGAUCUGCAACAUUUUUGUGAUACAACAGUAAUCGCAAGCUGCUUGCAUUAAACAGCAUGCUACUGGAAAAGCCUUUCCGUAGGGCUCUCAGUCCGAUCACUCUUUGUAUUAGCAGAAAACAAAGUAUUUCUUUCAAUAAUGAAAAAAUAAUUCCCACUUUAUCCUUCAAAAUGGUGGCGGGUUUCUGUUCCUCAGGCGUGAUACAAACUCACUGCAGUAGCCAUUUUGAACACCUGAAUUUUCUAUAAACAGUUGAAAUUUGCAAAGCGAGGAGCCCAUCGCUUCAAACACCGCGCUGGAGGUCGAGAGC